rnacentral:rRNA from 1 species
UGGGGAAUUUUGGACAAUGGGCGAAAGCCUGAUCCAGCAAUGCCGCGUGUGUGAAGAAGGCCUUCGGGUUGUAAAGCACUUUUGUCCGGAAAGAAAUCCUUGGCUCUAAUACGGUCGGGGGAUGACGGUACCGGAAGAAUAAGCACCGGCUAACUACGUGCCAGCAGCCGCGGUAAUACGUAGGGUGCAAGCGUUAAUCGGAAUUACUGGGCGUAAAGCGUGCGCAGGCGGUUUGCUAAGACCGAUGUGAAAUCCCCGGGCUCAACCUGGGAACUGCAUUGGUGACUGGCAGGCUAGAGUAUGGCAGAGGGGGGUAGAAUUCCACGUGUAGCAGUGAAAUGCGUAGAGAUGUGGAGGAAUACCGAUGGCGAAGGCAGCCCCCUGGGCCAAUACUGACGCUCAUGCACGAAAGCGUGGGGAGCAAACAGGAUUAGAUACCCUGGUAGUCCACGCCCUAAAACGAUGUCAACUAGUUGUUGGGGAUUCAUUUCCUUAGUAACGUAGCUAACGCGUGAAGUUGACCGCCUGGGGAGUACGGUCGCAAGAUUAAAACUUAAAGGAAUUGACGGGGUCAUAGCUG